UACAGAGGUCUCAAGCGUUGUUCGGAUUCAUUGGGCGUAAAGGGUGCGUAGGUGGCGCGCUAAGUCGGGUGUGAAAUUUCGGAGCUUAACUCCGAAACUGCAUUCGAUACUGGCGUGCUCGAGGACUGGAGAGGAGACUGGAAUUCCUGGUGUAGCGGUGGAAUGCGCAGAUAUCAGGAGGAACACCGGUGGCGAAGGCGGGUCUCUGGGCCGACAUUGACGCUGAGGAGCGAAAGCGUGGGGAGCGAACAGG
rnacentral:rRNA from 1 species